UCAUUCUCCCUAUUAGAUGGAGAGUGUGGAUACGGAAGGUUUUGGAUUGGAGUAGCGCCCACUACCUCCUUUCCUUUAGAAACUCUAUAAUUCCUCUCUCUUUUCUUUUUUACUCCCUCCACCAUCACUUCAUCACUCUUAUUUUUUUCUCCUUCCACACUUUCUUUAUUUUCUACUUCACCAUUUUUUUCAUUCUUUUCAACUUCUUCCUCACUCCACUCCCCAACUUCACCAUCAAUGCUAUCCUCUAUUUUUUUCUCCUCAUCUUUU
rnacentral:lncRNA from 1 species